UUUACAAAGCCGGCAGCCAAUAGCUCGCCGCAGUCGGCCCCAUCGCUACAGAAACCGCAUCUCCAUCCACGGCCUCUUGCGAGGAGCCGGCGCAUCCCCGCGCGGAGCGGCGGUGGCGGAGCCCGGCCUGCGGGGCUGAACAGUAUACGAAAUAGAUAAAGCCAAUAUCUGAGAAGAUUUAAAUGUUACCUGUAUCAAGGGUUGAAAAUGCAAGAAGAACCUUGGAUCCCCCAUUCACACGGAUACAGAAGCUGGCAGCCUCCAUUGGACACAAGAGUUCUGGAUUAAGCUCAUGAACACCCAGCCAUCCAGAAACUAGCUCCCUGCUGUGAGGAAUUUGCAAGAAAUCUGCAUUAUAGUAAUUGUUCACUGUAAUUUUCUGCAAAGACUGAUCUCACAGAAAAAUUUCUUCUUUUCCUUCUUUUUCUUUUUUUUUUUUGUGUCCAGUUGCCAUUGUAUAAUUAAUAUUGCACGCUAAGAUACAGGACUCAGAAUUACCCAUAUUUAAUAAAACAUUACGAAAGUCAAACUGUGUAACUGUUUUAUCAUUUAAUCAAAUAUUCCCUCUGGGUGGUUGUCACUGGAAAACUUCCAUGACAGCCAAGGAAGACUUCUGCUAUAUUUAUACACCUUCAGUCUUUGAUUGGUGUUUGAAGCAUGUCCAGAGCAUAGCCAUU